AUUGGAGUUAGGAAAUUCUCAAACACACUCUGAAACCACCAUGAACCUUGGCCUGGUCGUCUCACUUCACCCCUGUGCUUUUCAAGAUGAAGCCAUAACGAUUGUUUAGAUACUAUUGGAGAUUUUUGGAAAUCAGCACAUUCACCAAGACCUAGAAGCAAAUACACUGGUCAAUGAAUAAUUUAUGAUGGGGAAACGAUCACACAAAGAACACAGAAAGAAGAACUGGCGGCUCUCAGUGCUCUCUGCUCAGCCAGGACUCCUUGCCAUCUUCUGUUUGCAC
rnacentral:lncRNA from 1 species